GCUAGUCGAAGGAUAAGAUUUAGACCUUAAUUCACCAAGC
rnacentral:ncRNA from 1 species